UAUACAAACUCAUUCCAGCAGCUGAUGUAAUACUCUAGGUUACUCUACCCUGUAUGAGCCCAUGAUGAGAAGGGAACGAAAACGUUUGAAAAUCUUCCAUUUAUUCUUCUAGACUGGUGUGGACAGCGCAUAGAUACAUGGCUAUUGUACCUUUCAGAAUUUCAUUUUCAAUUCAAUGUGACAGUGUCAUGCAUAGUCGGA